CAGCUAUUCAGGCGGUUGAGGGAAGAGAAUUGCUUGUACCCGGGAGGUGGAGGUUGCAGUGAGCCAAGAUCGCACCAUUGCACUCCAGCCUGGCGACAGAGUGAGACUCCAUCUCAAAAACAAAAACAAAAACAAAAACAAAACAUAAGCUGCCAUGUCGUUGAUAACCUAAUCUCAAAAGUGACAUACAAUCACUUCUGAUAUAUUUUAUUGGCCACUCUGAUGACCAGGACCCCUGCUUCAUUGUGAGACGUGACUACACGAGGGUAUGACCACCAGGCAGUCAGGAUCACCGGUGGCCAUCUCAGAGGCUGGCUACCACAGGUCCCAUCCCAAAG
rnacentral:lncRNA from 1 species